rnacentral:antisense_RNA from 1 species
GAUAGCCGAAGAUCUUAGCAGGGUUCAGAGUCGGGUUCGUGACCAAACGGACAUCACCACCACCGGGUGCCCAAGUGUCAUACAAACCACCGAAGAACAUUGCUUUCGCAACCAACAACAGCGCACCUGCACCCAACAGGAUCAAGUGAUAGCCGAUGAUGUUGGUCAUUUGGUUCUUGUCUUUCCA